AGGGGUAUAGCUCAGUGGUAGAGCACGUGCUUGGCAUGCACAAGGUCCUGGGUUCAGUCCCCAGUGCCUUCA
rnacentral:tRNA from 1 species